UAAGUCUCGCAACGAGCGCAACCCCUAUCUUUAGUUGCCAGCAUUAAGUUGGGCACUCUAGAGAGACUGCCCGGGUUAACCGGGAGGAAGGUGGGGAUGACGUCAAGUCCUCAUGGCCCUUAUGCCUAGGGCUACACACGUAAUACAAUGGUGCAUACAGAGGGAAGCGACCCGGCGACGGUGAGCAAAUCUCAAAAAGUGCAUCUCAGUCCGGAUUGGAGUCUGCAACUCGACUCCAUGAAGUUGGAAUCGCUAGUAAUCGGAGAUCAGCACGCUCCGGUGAAUACGUUCCCGGGCCUU
rnacentral:rRNA from 1 species